rnacentral:misc_RNA from 1 species
AAAAAAGGGCAGGUUUAGAUGAAGAGCUGGUUUCUAAUCAGUUUGGUUAAGUACCCAAACUGAGUUUGGUUUCUUCAAAACUAAUCUCUUUUUUUUUUCUCCAGAAAGAACUUUUCCUCCCUACUCCCUAUGAUAUGGGUAUUGUUCAUUUGUUUGGGCUAUUUAUUAUAGAUGCACGGAAUUUGUUGCAAAUGAAGGAGAGCAAUUUACUGCCUUUAUCUAGAAAGAAAGAUUUUUUU